CCUAUGGGGGGCAGCAGUGGGGAAUAUUGCGCAAUGGGCGAAAGCCUGACGCAGCGACGCCGCGUGAGGGAUGAAGGUCUUCGGAUCGUAAACCUCUGUCAGCAGGGAAGAACGGUCACUGUGCUAAUCAGCAGUGAAUUGAUGGUACCUGCAAAGGCAGCACCGGCUAACUCCGUGCCAGCAGCCGCGGUAAUACGGAGGGUGCGAGCGUUAAUCGGAUUUACUGGGCGUAAAGCGCUCGUAGGCGGUAUGUCAAGUCAAGGGUGAAAGCCCCGCGCUUAACGUGGGAACUGCCUUUGAAACUGGCAAACUGGAGUGUGUGAGAGGAUAGUGGAAUGCCAGGUGUAGGGGUGAAAUGCGUAGAUAUCAGGAGGAACAUCAGUGGCGAAGGCGACUAUCUGGAACAUAACUGACGCUGAGGAGCGAAAGCGUGGGUAGCAAACAGGAUUAGAUACCCCAGUAGUC
rnacentral:rRNA from 1 species